rnacentral:rRNA from 1 species
UAAGGAAUAUUGGACAAUGGUCGAAAGACUGAUCCAGCCAUGCCGCGUGAAGGAUGAAGGCCCUAUGGGUUGUAAACUUCUUUUGUACGGGAAAAAACCUCUUUACGUGUAAAGAGCUGAUUGUACUGUAAGAAUAAGGAUCGGCUAACUCCGUGCCAGCAGCCGCGGUAAUACGGAGGAUCCAAGCGUUAUCCGGAUUCAUUGGGUUUAAAGGGUGCGUAGGCGGAAUAAUAAGUCAGUGGUGAAAUCCUGCAGCUUAACUGCAGAACUGCCAUUGAUACUGUUAAUCUUGAGUAUAUUUGAUGUGGGCGGAAUGUGUCAUGUAGCGGUGAAAUGCUUAGAUAUGACACAGAACACCGAUUGCGAAGGCAGCUCACAAAACUAUAACUGACGCUGAGGCACGAAAGCGUGGGUAUCAAACAGGAUUAGAUACCCUGGUAGUCCACGCUGUAAACUAUGAUUACUCGAUGUUUGCGAUACACUGUAAGCGUCUAAGCGAAAGCGAUAAGUA